rnacentral:tRNA from 1 species
GGUCUUAUGGUCUAGUGGUAUGAUUCUCGCUUAGGGAUCACGUGAUCAACACCUGAGCACAUUUGCGAGAGGCCCCGCGUUCGAAUCGCGGUAAGACCC